rnacentral:lncRNA from 1 species
GGAAUGCAUACUGAACAUUGACAAGCUGAUGUCCAGAGGCCAUAUUUUAGUCAACAGAUGCUACCUAUGAAUGUGGGAGUCAUGUAACCAUCUUCUUUUGUGGUGUACUAUGACUUAUGAUCUGUGGUGCAUGAUUUAUGGAGUUUUAGGGAUUAAUUGGAUGAUGGCAGGUACCGUAGGGAGGAAAUUUGUUCUUGUGGUGGAUUAUGUAAGAAAAAAAAUGUAUCAAAUUGAUUUUAUUAACUAUUUUUUGGGUCAUAUGGAAAGAGAGAAAUUAUAGAGC